rnacentral:rRNA from 1 species
CCUACGGGAGGCAGCAGUGAGGAAUAUUGGUCAAUGGACGAGAGUCUGAACCAGCCAAGUAGCGUGAAGGAUGACUGCCCUAUGGGUUGUAAACUUCUUUUAUAAAGGAAUAAAACGAGGCACGUGUGCCUGUUUGCAUGGACUUUAUGAAUAAGGAUCGGCUAACUCCGUGCCAGAAGCCGCGGUAAUACGGAGGAACCGAGCGUUAACCGGAUUUAUUGGGUUUAAAGGGAGCGUAGAUGGGUUGUUAAGUCAGUUGUGAAAGUUUGCGGCUUAACCGUCAAACUGCAAUUGAUACUGGCAGUCUUGAGUACAGUUGAGGUAGGCGGAAUUCGUGGUGUAGCGGUGAAAUGCUUAGAUAUCACGAAGAACCCCGAUUGCGAAGGCAGCUUACUAAACUGUGACUGACAUUGAUGCUCGAAAGUGUGGGUAUCAAACAGGAUUAGAUACCCUUGUAGUC